CUGAACUUCCUGAAUGCAGCUUCCUGGUAGUCUCUGCUACUAACGAAAAGGAGAGGGAAAGACACCAAGCCUCAACACCAAAACAGAAGGAAGCAAAGAAGCUGGACCUAUUCCAAAUGAGGCUUUAUUCCACAGGAGGUUUACAGUCUAUUAUGUAGCUGUCAGAAAGAAACAAUAAUGAAGCAAAAAUUCAAAGUGACGCAGAGCAGUGGAGGGUAGAACACAACAAGAGGAGUGGGGGGACUCAAGUCACAGGUUUCAACGUACAUUCUCCCGAGGAGUUUGCUCUUUAUCCUGCAUUGGUCAGCAUCCUGGCUGUGGCCCCUUGCAGGCAUCUGCUUAACAAUGUCCACAAAAUAACUUUAUUCCGUUUGUCUGGCCACAAGAGCUUCCUGCACUGCUGCUUCUCAGCAGAUGAUGAUGAAGAUCUAGGGUCUCAGGAUGUCUCCAGGGGGCUGCUCAAGAACUUGAAGUUAUGCAACAGAAUAAAACGUAACAGCCACGACAAACUGUAGGAGCUGAAGAUGAAGAAGAGCCAAAAAGGAAUAGUCAGUGUCUACAGAUACAAAAGCCAUUCCACUGCUGCUAUGUCACAGAUUUCAGCUGCCGGGAUGUGUGAAGGAAUGAACCAGUGCGUCUCACAUCUCAAAGGUUUUUGAGAUCUAGUCAGUCUCUGGGAAGAAUUCUCUUCUGAGUUCAGCUCUGCAAGCUGAUUAUCCUCAUGCAUCUCUGUUGUAUUUCUGCGUUUGUUCAGCACAUGCAGAUGUGUUAUCCACUGGGCAAUUUGGAGAGGAGAAUUAAGCAAUGAAGCAGAAAACAGAGCUAUUUUUAAGCAGUUUCUUUCACCUCAAGUCAGGUCAGGUUCUAACUUACUAUCUUCAAAAUACCUAAUCACUUUGCCUUUGACUUCUCUGCUGACAUUUAUAUAGAUGGACCCUAUCGUCCUUUCAGUACUGAGCUAAGGAUACAAUUUUCAGAAGUGCCUAAGGGAGUUGGGGAGCCUAACUCCCAUUUUCAAAAGUGAUGUAAGUGUUUGAAAGUCAAUGGGACUUAAGUUCCUAAGGGCCAGAGUUUUAUAGGUAUUUAAGCAUCUAAAGAUACAGAUGGGUGCUUCCCAGGGAGUUAGGCGCCUCAGCACUUGUGAAAAUCCCACUAAAUGUCUAUCUGUAUCUUUAGGUGCCUGAAUGCCUUUACAAAGCUCACCUCGACUCACUUUUGAAAAAUGUACCCUAAAUCUUCAACUCAGGCCCGUAUCCAGAUUAUUUUGAGUUGAAUUUUAAGUACCAGUGCCCAGUGUACUAUUUCCUCUAAUUAUUGAGAGCUUGUUGAAUUAUAUAUAAGUAUCAGUUUGACUGAACACAUCCACUCGGGACCUUUAGCCAGCAUUAGCUAAAAUUUCCACUGGGGAUCACCUAAAACCUUGGAUUCUUCUAGAUCUGGUCUCUGUGUUAGUUGUCCCAAAUUCCUAGUCAGGAUCACAAAGGGGAUUUUUCUAGGACAAUAUAACAGAGGCAGAGCUUUUAUUAUGCUCUCACGUGAUGCUAUUUACACAUCACAACAGUGGUGUUCCUUUCUGUUCUGUUUUUCUUCCACUCACCUAUGACAUCUGUCUCAAUCCAUCUCUAUAGUAGAAACACAGAAUUGAAGGACUACAGAGCAAAGUCAAAGCAGUUCAAGAUAAUUAGACUUCUUGUAGUGUUUUUGAAAAGCUUUCAUGUUUUGUUGAUGUUACUAGGAUAUUUUGAUGGCUUUAUUAGAGAUAGACCCAAAUUGCAAAUAUAUACAUCAAGAUUUCUAAGACCCCAUUGUUGGGUCACUAUUGGGUUUUACUUUGGGCCCAUUUCUAGCCUCAUGUUACAUAUCAUACAGUUGAUCUGUUGUAAUGACUGACAAGAAGGAUACAUUUCUGGAGCCCCUUUUCAUAUAUUAUAUUUAAUAUUUAUUAAUAGUGUUUCCACCCUGCCCUCUGUUGUGCGAAGAACUUCAAGAUCUUGACUCCAGUAUUCGGUUUUCCCUAUAUAUGGUUAACUCCACAAGGUUCAUGUAUGCAGGGGAGAAAUCUUUUAGUCAAACUCUGCUGUAUGGACUAGAGAACACCGAAUUUUGCCAGGAACUUGUGUGAAGCUCUCAGAGCCACAGAAAUAACUUUACUCAGAACUCCAAACUUUCCAGCGCGGUGGC